rnacentral:rRNA from 1 species
CCUACGGGAGGCAGCAGUGGGGAAUAUUGCACAAUGGGGGGAACCCUGAUGCAGCGACGCCGCGUGAGCGAAGAAGUACUUCGGUAUGUAAAGCCCUAUCAGCAGGGAAGAAAAUGACGGUACCUGACUAAGAAGCCCCGGCUAACUACGUGCCAGCAGCCGCGGUAAUACGUAGGGGGCAAGCGUUAUCCGGAUUUACUGGGUGUAAAGGGGGCGUAGGCGGCGUGCCAAGUCUGAGGUGAAAGGCCGGGGCUCAACCCCGGGACUGCAUUGGAAACUGGCAGGCUGGAGUGCAGGAGGGGCAGGCGGAAUGCAUAGUGUAGCGGUGAAAUGCGUAGAUAUUAGGAGGAACACCGGUGGCGAAGGCGGCUUGCUGGACGAUAACUGACGUUGAGGCUCGAAAGCGUGGGGAGCAAACAGGAUUAGAUACCCGUGUAGUC